rnacentral:rRNA from 1 species
UACGUAGGGGGCAGCGUUGUCCGGAAUUAUUGGCGUAAAGAGCGUGUAGGCGGCCAGAUAAGUCCGCUGUGAAAUCUCGAAGGCUCAACUUCGAGCUGUCGGUGGAAACUAUCUGGCUAGAGUCCGGAAGAGGAGAAUGGAAUUCCUGGUGUAGCGGUGAAAUGCGCAGAUAUCAGGAAGAACACCCGUGGCGAAGGCGGUUCUCUGGGACGGUACUGACGCUGAGACGCGAAAGCGUGGGAGCGAACAGG